UACGGAGGGUGCAAGCGUUGCUCGGAAUCAUUGGGCGUAAAGCGUACGCAGGCUGUUCGUUAAGUCGGGUGUGAAAGCCCGGGGCUCAACCCCGGAAAUGCGCCCGAAACUGGCGAGCUUGAGUGCGGGAGAGGGAAGCGGAAUUCCUGGUGUAGAGGUGAAAUUCGUAGAUAUCAGGAGGAACACCGGUGGCGAAAGCGGCUUCCUGGCCCGACACUGACGCUCAUGUACGAAAGCGUGGGGAGCAAACAGG
rnacentral:rRNA from 1 species